rnacentral:lncRNA from 13 species
GCUUUGACCUCUAUAUGGACAAAAUUAAGCCUGUUAUUUCAAUUUUUUUCUGGAACAGAAUGACGAACAAUGCCUCACAAGGGGCCUGCAAUUCAACAACACUGAAUCAGGGCAUUUCCAGGAUUUCUAAAGCUGUAGACACCCUGACUAACCAACUGUUCUGUGAGGGAGGGAACAACCAAAGCUUUCCUGAAGAGAAGUUCAGCGUGCUGCAACAAGACCUCAGACAGAUUAUGAAAUUGGCCUUAAAAGUCUUCCUUCAUUUGGGCACCAAUGAAUCAAAGUCUGAGGUCCUGGAUGUCUUUGGAGCUUUGAACAGUCUCAACAGUGAUAACGAUCAAAAUGUGCAAUUCAUCCGCCUGUGGUUCAACGUCCAGCUGGUACCUCUUUUACCCCACAUUACCGGAGACUUCCUGUCCCUGUUGAGCACAAGAGACUUCAGCUGCAGCUCCUAUCAGGCACUGGUCCUGGGAUUGAGUGGUGAACUGGUAUCCAUUAAUGAAGAGCAGAAACAAUUGAUCUACACUCACUUUAUCCGUCUUUUCCUGUUCAGAAAGGGAUCAUCAGAUCCUGGAUGCUUGGGAAAUGUAAAUGAAAGUGCAGACUGGUUGUUGAAAAACUUUGGAAACUUUUCAAGCAUUGCUGAUUUAAAGGAUCUGUAUGAACUAAACCAGCAUUUCUCUGCGCUGGAGGUUUUGAAAAUCCUUUCACCAAACCAGAAAGCUGAAUUGAUACUGGACCCAAGCACUGGCGCUCUGGAGAAUGAGACUCUUGUGAAGAACGUUUUCAUCAGCUUGCUGGAAUCCCCAAGGGAAGAGCAGCUCAAUGAGUUCUUUGUGACUUUUGUUGAAGUCACCAAGCAGGAAAACAUCACUAUCAUCACAAACACAGCUGUAAGAGACACAAUGCUAGACCUGACCUUGAUGGCUCUUGCUCCCAAAUUCGACGUUUUUGAGCCAAAAGACUUCCAGCUGUGGUUCCAAGUCAAUCUGGUUGUUCUGCUGGCCAGCUUCCAUCCUGGCAGAUUGGUUGAUAUCCCCCUAAACAUCACCUGUGAAUCCUACAAUGCCAUAUUUACGGGUCUCAACCAAAGUUUGGAAUCUCUUCCGCCUCACCUCUCACAGGGUGUAAAGGCAAGCUUGGAUGCUCUGAUGAAGACAUUCCAACGUAUGUUAUAAACUGCUAUAUUUCAACAACAGACACUGUAUCUUCUGAACCCAGCAUUUAUAGAACAUUUAAAAAAUCUCCAAAAAGGCAUUCUAUUAUUUUGCUAACUCAUAUGCUCCCAAAUCUUCCCGUUGAUUGACUGACCUUAUUUAAAUUAUCCCCCUCAAAGGUUGCUCAAGGCCUCCAGCUUUAAUUGUGGUAAGUACUCUCUGAGUGGGAUCUUAUUUUAAAUAGACCUUUUGUUUACGAUAUGGGAAAGGUCAUGCAUCUGGUAUCUGCAUUGUGGCAUUGUUCAGAAAGCCAAAGCAUCUCUUUUGUUUUCUCAUUUAAUUUCACACUGGUAACAAUAUUAUUUCCCCCCCAUAUAGUGCAAAGAAACAUUGGUCAAUGGUAAGUUGAUGCUAGCUGUGCAAUUGACAUUUUCUUGAAUCAGAUUGGCAAUUUAUGAUUUGUGUCUGAAGAACUAUUGUUUUUAUGUUCUCUUUUGCAGAGAAACAACUUUGUGCUGGAUUUAACAGGUGGGUUCAGUGCUGUCUUGCACAGUGCAGGUUGUAAGACAUUGAGACACACAGGGUAUCAUUUGUAAACUAAUAAUGUAUUUUUCAUUACCGUUUCCUACAGCACACAACUGAAGCAACAAAUGUCG